UACUAAAACCGUGGUUGUAAUGUUGUGUG
rnacentral:piRNA from 1 species